rnacentral:lncRNA from 1 species
UGUCUACUUACCUAAAGUUUAUCCUUAAGGUGGGCUAAAGUAACAGUUUGUCAGCACCUUUGGUCACAAGUAGGAUCAGAAGGAAGUAAGAAAAGAAAAGAACUCUGCAAUCUUCCUAUGAUUCUCAUGUGGUUCUGCUCCCAAUUCCGCCAUCAACAGUUCCUGGGAAAAGGAGACUGAAAGAAUUCACCAGAUAUUUUCCCUUCUCCUAAAACAGAGGGAAUCAAGAGUACUCUGGUUUUUCCUUUGAAGAGGGUAAGAGCAAAAUGCAAAGUGGGCAACAAUGUUCUCUUUAUGUCCAGCACAGAGGAAUAGUAACUCCAACCUGAGUCUGUCCUCUUAAGUCUGAAC